CCUCUUUUUUGCUUGGUCGCCGCCGUUGUCCUCCAAGAUGGCGUUCUGGCGUCAGAGUGUGCUCGUGGCGUUGCUCCUGACAGGUUCAACGAGGGGGGUCGCUCGCGUGCGCUACCAGACGUCGGCCACGUGCGCGGUCAAAGGCUCCACGCUCGCCGUCGGCUGCACGUUCACGCCCCUAAUGGCGGUGGUCAGGGCGGUGUGGUGCGUCGACCACCUCAUUUGUCACGGCUCCACGCCGUCCGUGUACGACAGCACCAGGCCCCGCCCUGGCUCGCGCUACAAGUACCUGGGAGACUUGGAGGGAAACUGCACGCUCGUGAUCCACGACGUCCAGAAAACGGACAACGGGGUGCUCCGCUUCCGGAUGGAGGCUGCUGAUCCCGUUGGACAUUUCACUGGCACCACGGGGGCAAAGGUCAACGUCAUCGAUGACGCUCGGAUGGUGGUGUUAAGCAACGCCCCCCUCAGGGUGACUGAGGGCGACAGGGUGAUUUUGAGCUGUGCUUGCCGCUGCUCCUUCCAACAGCUGGAGGUCCGCUGGCUCCGAGACGGCCACGCCCUCGUAGAAUCUGGCCCCACCCUGCAGCUGGGCCCGCUGACCACGGGCAAGUCCGGCAACUACACAUGCGCACUGGCCAGGGACACCGGGACAACAUCGCUGCCUUUCAGUUUGAACGUGGAAGCGCGUAAAUCCGAUUCACUCGAUGGGUGGCUUGCACCGACUCUUGGCGGAACCAUUGGCCUUCUUUUGGUGUUGCUGAGUUCUAUCCUGCUCAUUUUCAUCAUUAAAAGGAAGUGUCGGAUGGCGUCAUGCGAGAACGUCAAAGGUCUGAACGGUGAGAUGGAGCACUUGCAUGUGUACGGUAACUUGCCGUCGUCUGUGGAGCGUGCUGGACCAGAUGGACAGGAAAUGAGCCACAGCGCAGAGGAAGUCAGCUACGCCUCUGUCCAGUUUAAACAAAAAACAGUGAGCAGACCAGCGAUGGACAGCAGAGACUUUGUCGUCUACUCAGCAGUGACGAGCCCAUUGUGAUGACACAGCAGGAUUACGGAUCAAUGAAAGUUGCUCAAUGAUAAGUGUUCAAUAAACACAAAGAUGGGGCUUCACAAACCACG